UUCGCCCUUAGAGUUUGAUCCUGGCUCAGGAUGAACGCUAGCUACAGGCUUAACACAUGCAAGUCGAGGGGCAGCGGGAUUGAAGCUUGCUUCAAUUGCCGGCGACCGGCGCACGGGUGAGUAACGCGUAUCCAACCUUCCGUACACUCAGGGAUAGCCUUUCGAAAGAAAGAUUAAUACCUGAUGGUACGAUGAGAUUGCAUGAUAGCAUCAUUAAAGAUUUAUCGGUGUACGAUGGGGAUGCGUUCCAUUAGGUAGUAGGCGGGGUAACGGCCCACCUAGCCAACGAUGGAUAGGGGUUCUGAGAGGAAGGUCCCCCACAUUGGAACUGAGACACGGUCCAAACUCCUACGGGAGGCAGCAGUGAGGAAUAUUGGUCAAUGGACGAGAGUCUGAACCAGCCAAGUAGCGUGAAGGAUGAAGGUCCUACGGAUUGUAAACUUCUUUUAUAAGGGAAUAAACCCUCCCACGUGUGGGAGCUUGUAUGUACCUUAUGAAUAAGCAUCGGCUAACUCCGUGCCAGCAGCCGCGGUAAUACGGAGGAUGCGAGCGUUAUCCGGAUUUAUUGGGUUUAAAGGGAGCGCAGACGGGUCGUUAAGUCAGCUGUGAAAGUUUGGGGCUCAACCUUAAAAUUGCAGUUGAUACUGGCGUCCUUGAGUGCGGUUGAGGUGUGCGGAAUUCGUGGUGUAGCGGUGAAAUGCUUAGAUAUCACGAAGAACUCCGAUUGCGAAGGCAGCACACUAAUCCGUAACUGACGUUCAUGCUCGAAAGUGUGGGUAUCAAACAGGAUUAGAUACCCUGGUAGUCCACACGGUAAACGAUGGAUACUCGCUGUUGGCGAUAUACUGUCAGCGGCUUAGCGAAAGCGUUAAGUAUCCCACCUGGGGAGUACGCCGGCAACGGUGAAACUCA
rnacentral:rRNA from 1 species